rnacentral:rRNA from 1 species
UACAGAGGGGGCAAGUGUUGUUCGGAAUUACUGGGCGUAAAGGGCGCGUAGGCGGCCUGUUAAGUCGAACGUGAAAUCCCCGGGCUCAACCCGGGAACUGCGUCCGAUACUGGCAGGCUUGAAUCCGGGAGAGGGAUGCGGAAUUCCAGGUGUAGCGGUGAAAUGCGUAGAUAUCUGGAGGAACACCGGUGGCGAAGGCGGCAUCCUGGACCGGUAUUGACGCUGAGGCGCGAAAGCCAGGGGAGCAAACGGG